AAUGAACGCUGGCGGCAUGCCUAACACAUGCAAGUCGAACGAGACCACCGGGUAUAUUGGCGCAUGGGUGCGUAGUGGGGAGGAAGCUGCCCAUAUGUCCGGACUAACUCCCCAAAAGGGGUGAUCAAAUCGGAAGAUGACUUCGGACCAAAGAUUUAUCGCGUUGGGAUGGGCGGGCAUUGGAUACGUUGGUUGGUAGGGUGAACGGGUACCAAGGCGACGAUUCAUAGCUGGUCUGAGAGGAUGAUCAGCCACACUGGGACGGGGACACGGCCCGGAAUCCUACGGGAGGGGGCAGAGGGGGAUAUUGGAAAGUCGGCGGAAGGCUGAUCCAGCUAUGCCUCGAAAGUGAUGAAGGCAGUGAAGAUGUAAAGCUCUUUUACCCGGGAUGAUAAUGACGGUACCGGAAGAAUAAGCUCCGGCUAACUCCGUG
rnacentral:rRNA from 1 species